UACGGAGGGGGCAAGCGUUGUCCGGAUUUAUUGGGCGUAAAGAGUGCGCAGGCGGCAGGUCAAGUCGGAUGUGAAAGACUCCGGCUCAACUGGGGAGGGUCAAUUGAAACUGAUCAGCUCGAAGGCGGGAGAGGGAAGCGGAAUUCACGGUGUAGUGGUGAAAUGCGUAGAUAUCGGGAGGAACACCAAUGGCGAAGGCAGCGUCCUGGCCCGUACUUGACGCUGAGGCGCGAAAGCUAGGGGAGCGAACGGG
rnacentral:rRNA from 1 species